UGCGCAGGCGGGCUUGUAAGUCAGUGGUGAAAUACUGCCGCUCAACGGUAGAACUGCCAUUGAUACUGCAAGUCUUGAAUAUGGUUGAGGUAGGCGGAAUGUGUCGUGUAGCGGUGAAAUGCAUAGAUAUGACACAGAACGCCAAUUGCGAAGGCAGCUUACUAAGCCAUUAUUGACGCUGAGGCACGAAAGCGUGGGGGGCGAACAGGAUUAGAUACCCUGGUAGUCC
rnacentral:rRNA from 1 species